AGGGAUGUGCUCGCGGCCUAUCAGCUUUGUUGGUGGGUAAUGGCCUACCAAGGCUUCGACGGGUAGCCGGCCUGAGAGGGUGACCGGCCACACUGGGACUGAGACACGGCCCAGACUCCUACGGGAGGCAGCAGUGGGGAAUAUUGGACAAUGGGCGGAAGCCUGAUCCAGCAACGCCGCGUGAGGGAUGACGGCCUUCGGGUUGUAAACCUCUUUCAGUACCGACGAAGCGCCGAUGAUGGUGGUGACGGUAGGUACAGAAGAAGCACCGGCCAACUACGUG
rnacentral:rRNA from 1 species